CCAACUCUUCGGAUCAAGUUACUAUAGUAAUGAUAAAUUUAUUAUAUACCCCCUUAUGCAUUUUAAAUCCACAUUUAUAAGAUAAUAAAUGUAAUCCAAAUUAUUAAAAACACAGACAUACCAUGAAAGUAUGUUUUGUGUACCUAGUUUCGUUUGUGACGCGGUCAAUAUUUUCCACAAAUAACGUUGCGUUCAUGCAUUGUGACGUCAUUGUGACGGCAUCAGUUUCAGAGGAUACUGAUACGGAAACAGAAAACCACAGUGUGGUGAUCCGGAAAACCGGAUCACACGCUGUGAAAUCCACAGUAUCAAAGAACGAUACAUUGAUGGGUAUAUAAUAAAUUGCAAUAUUUAUCAAUGUGUUUUUACUUAGUCAGAUUUCAAAAAUGUGUAUUUCCGGUGUGUUGAUUUCCCUUGGUCUGGUAGCAGUUUUGACGACAGAUAUCGGAUAUGGACGUGAUGAUACAUGUAAUUGGCAAUUAGUAUUCCAUGCAGUUCAAGGUAAUGGUGAAUCUGUCCUUGAUGCCUAUAACACGAAGUCACCAUCACAAUGUAGUCCUGACAAUGGCUGCCUUCCUCCACGUUUUACCUUGGAUCACUGGAGGGAUAAUGCAAAACAUCUGCGAAGUCCUCUUAUAGAUCAGUGGGAAUCGCUCAGUAUCAAAAAGAUCAGAGUGGAGCUUGGUGGACAGGGGAAGGUAUUAGCCUUCUUAGAAUUUGAUGGAAGCGGAAGUAACAACAAAGACUGGUUUAGCAAAUCAAGACUUCUCAAUAGUAGUUGGUCCGAUCUCAAGACCUCCAGCACAAAUUACUUUUCUAUGAAAGGACACGACAACGAUAUAAAUAUUGAGAAAAGGCACUUUUUGUCAACAAACAUUAUGGAGGAUGUACUGAUAUUGGAUGGUUCGUAGUUAUAGACAAAACCGAUAUAUGUCCAUGGGCAAAAAAAGGAGCAGUCCCCUUGUUUUUGUACAGCAACGGACCACAAGCUGCUAACUGGGAUCACAGUCCAGGAGUCGCCGAUGUGAUGAAUGUAUAUAUCCAAACAUUGUAAAUCUUAUGGACUAAACCUUGAAAGUCUUACUGAUUAUGUAUUUGUAAAGUUAUGUAUAUUGAAUAAUCUUUCUUAUACGGCAGUUUAGUAUGAAUUGCAAUAAAUGUGGUUCAUUGGA